UCCUCAGCACAGACGCAAGGCAGGCCCGCUGCUGCUCAACUGGAAAGGCUGUUCGGCUGCUUGCUGAGCAGAGGAGAAACUGAAGUACAGCUAUUAACGUACUUCAGAAAUUGUAUUGUGGCACUAAUCCCAGGUGGAUUAGGAUGUGCAGGAAGACAAAAAGCAGGGAGAAUUCCAGUGUGACAGAGCAAUUACACUGGGGUAAGUGAAAUAUAAAUCAAGAGACAGACUUGUUCUCUCAGGUGCUCUUAUCUAAACUCAAUAGGACUCUCAUGAAAAUAAACUGACAGAUGAUGACAUUCCUCUUAUUUGAGGAAGAAAAUAUGUAAUUUCUUUAAAUUUAGGGAUUAUUGUUUUCAUUCUAAAAGCCUUUUUUUUUUUUUUAAUAUGUGUACAUCAUAUUUGAAGUAAGUAGCCCUUAGUUUAUAUUAUAUAAAAUCUAUGCAUUAGCACAUUCCGUCUUUUCCUUACCUGGUAGAUUUUAGCAUCUCUCAUUAGUUUUUCUACAGGAUAUUCAGUAUUAAAUCCAUUUCCUCCAAAAAUCUGUACUGCAUCUGCAGCUACUUGGUUUGCAAUGUCACCAGCAAAUGCCUUUGCAAUGGAAGCAUAGUAGGUAUUCCUGCGACCAGCAUCAACUUCCCACGCAGCUCUCUGGUAGGCCAUCCUAGCGAGUUCAACUUUCAUGGCCAUUUCAGCAAGCAAGAAAGACACUGCUUGGUGCUAGGACAGAAUAAACCACGUUAAUAUCGCCCACUUAAAAUUCUGGGACAUUCAAGAAAGACAUCAUCUCCUAAUACAGUGAUUUUUUGAACAAACUCAGUAAGUUGUAUGAGAGGAGUUCUACAGAUUAUGCAUCAGGCUCUCAGAAUGGUGUUCAAUUAGAUUUUUAAGAUUUUGAUUCUGAAAUCCCCAUAGUCAUAGGGAUUAAAUACUGAAUUAUGAAGUUGUUAUUUCCUAUUUAUGAGAUUGGUAUGUACCUUGCUUUUUGUUUGUAUUUCCUUAAAACUCAUAACCAGCACUAUUGGCAAUGUAUUCUGUUAGUGUUAAUACUAUGUGUCUUGUUUCAUGUACCUCAUUUUUUCUUUCCUGAAAAUCCCUCUUUAUUAGCACUGAAGAAUUUAAGUAUGUCCAGCUAGUAUGCAAGUUUUGAUGUCUCGGGCAGAGUUUUUUUUUUCUGCUUCUACUACCAUCGUUGAUAAAUUAUAAAAAAUUCUGGAAGUUACCACAUAGCUAAGUUUACUUACAAGGUGCUGACCUACAUACAUGGAACCCCCAAAAUGGCAGAGGUAUGAUAUAAAAAUUAAGGAAAUAUAAAAAUCAAGGAAUAACCUUUAAAAAUCAGUAGCAGUACAUCUGGUGUGAAAACAAGCUUUUAUUGUAUUUUCUCUCUCUGCCCCCAUACUUACUUCAACAAUUGGUUUCCCAAACGUUUUUCUCUCCAAAGCAUAUCUGGUAGCCUCAUCAAGGGCUCUCUUUGCUAAUCCAACAGCACCAGCUGCUACCUGAAUUGAAUACAGCACAGAAUAAAAAAUCAGAAAUUCCCGACGUAUUUUAUAACCAAGUUAUUUCUGAUACUUACAGGUGGUCUGGUCUUAUCAAAAGCUCCCAUUGCGAUUUUAAAGCCAGCUCCCUCAGCUAUCAACACAUUUUCUUUUGGGACUCUCACAUCUUCGAAGACAAUACCUCUUGUAUCUGAGCAGCGCUGACCCAUAUUCAUUUCCUGAAGUGGAAAUUUACAGAGGUGUUACUAAAGGGGAUUAUUCAAAGGUAUAAUAUGUUUUCAUUCUUUAGUUUACUCAAAGCACAGAGUAUGUUUUUCUUCCCCAAAACACUUAAUCUAAAAAUUACCAUAUACAUGACAAAUACUAGUUUUGUACUUGCAGACCAGCAUGCCCUUCAUUUGUCUAAUCUGGGCAGUUUACUUUCUCCUUAUAUGAAAUCAGUUCAACCUCUGUAACCAGUCUUCUCUAGUUUUCUCUAGUUCUUUCUCUAGUUCAACUAUAUCCUUUGAGAUGAAAGUGGAAAAAGAAAACAAUGUAAUGUGCAGACAGUGCAGAUAUACUAAAAGUAAAUAAAUAAAUUAGCUUUUCAAGUUUUUAGAUUCCUUUCCUAAUGUUCAACAUCCAGUUUUACCUAAUAUUAAAAAUAGUACUUUUUUUUAAAGAGAGAACUAGUACUAGUAUCUCUAAGGCCUCUUCUUUGACCAGCAGUAGCUAAAAUUAAAGCUCACUGCCUGUGUAUUUAUGGUUGAUAUUGUCCAACUUGCUUCCUAUCCUUUCAAUGCAUAAUACUUCUCAUUUAUUGGUACUUGCCAGUAUAAUAGUUCUCAAAGAGUCUUUUGCAGCUGUUCAAAGUCAUCUUACUUUGGACCAUUCUGAAAAAUUCCUUAUCUGAACUAAUAACUUUAAAAUUAUGUUUAAUGAAUAGCUUCUGCAUGUUGUGAAAAUGAAAAGAUGGUUGUAAAUGAGCAUAUGAAAAUGUGCAGUUGUGUAACAGUCUUUUCUCUUGAGUGGUACGUUUGUUUCAUUACUGGUUUAGAACUAAACAAUAAUUCCUAACUUGUCAAAUAAGAAAUAAUCUUCACCUUUCUUCCAAUUUGGAUGCCAGGACUAUCUGCUUCCACAAUGAAUCCAGUAAAGGCUUUGCCUGCAGGAGUUUUUGGAUCUGGAUCGGUACGUGCUAGCAAAAAAUACCUAGUGUAAACCAAAGAAGAUGGAUGCAGUUUAUCCUCACAGUUAACAACAAGAUAUAUUUAGAAACCUUUUCCAUUUCCCCAAUACUCUUUUGAGAUGGAAGGAUUUGACUAUAUAAUGAAUUAAAAAGGCAAGUGCAAUUUGGAUUUGGGCAGCAGCAUAAUUGUGCCUUCUGCAUUUUUCUUCAUUCUCUUAAGGGUCCCUUUUGACUUUAAAUUUUAUUUUGACCACUUCUGAGCAUUAUACUAUACAUUAACUAUUUAUGAUAAACACCAAAAUGUCUUUUUUGAGAGGCAGUAACUAGUGCAGAGGAUACCAUUUUUCUUGCUUCUUUCCCUUCACAUGUGCAUCACUUUUCCUUUUUGGAAUUGCAUUGCCAUUUUAACUGGCUCUCUAUUUCAAGGUCUUCUCCUGCAGCUCUCUGCACCAGUCUCAUCUUUUUUUACAUUGAGUAACUUAGUAUUAUCAGCAAACUCUAUCGCCUUUGUG